rnacentral:tRNA from 1 species
AGUCCCGUAGUGUAGUGGCCAAUCAUUCAGCCCUUUGGAGGCUGAGACCCAGGUUCGAAUCCUGGCGGGACUA